GUGUCAGCCGCCGCGGUAAUACGUAGGGUGCAAGCGUUAAUCGGAAUUACUGGGCGUAAAGCGUGCGCAGGCGGUUUUGUAAGUCUGACGUGAAAUCCCCGGGCUCAACCUGGGAAUUGCGUUGGAGACUGCAAGGCUGGAGUCUGGCAGAGGGGGGUAGAAUUCCACGUGUAGCAGUGAAAUGCGUAGAGAUGUGGAGGAACACCGAUGGCGAAGGCAGCCCCCUGGGUCAAGACUGACGCUCAUGCACGAAAGCGUGGGGAGCAAACAGGAUUAGAAACCCUAGUAGUCC
rnacentral:rRNA from 1 species